GACGAACGCUGGCGGCGCGCCUAACACAUGCAAGUCGAACGGAGUUGAGCGGAACUUGCUUUUCUCAACUUAGUGGCGAACGGGUGAGUAACGCGUGCGUAACCUGCCCUGGAGUGGGGGACAACAGUUGGAAACGACUGCUAAUACCGCAUAAGCCCACGGUACCGAAUGGUACCGAGGGACAAGGAGUUAUUCGCUUCAGGAUGGACUCGCGUCCAAUUAGCUAGUUGGUGAGGUAACUGCCCACCAAGGCGACGAUUGGUAGCCGGACUGAGAGGUUGAACGGCCACAUUUGGACUGAGACACGGCCCAGACUCCUACGGGAGGCAGCAGUGGGGGAUAUUGCACAAUGGGGGAAACCCUGAUGCAGCGACGGCGCGUGGAGGAAGAAGGUUUUCGGAUUGUAAACUCCUGUCGUUAGGGACGAUAAUGACGGUACCUAACAAGAAAGCUCCGGCUAACUACGUGCCAGCCGCCGCAGUAA
rnacentral:rRNA from 1 species